CGUCAGGUAGCUCAGUGGUUUAGAGCAGUCGCCCGGCAAGCGAAGGAGCCGGGUUCGAUUCCCGGUCUAGCGA
rnacentral:tRNA from 1 species